GACGAACGCUGGCGGCGUGCCUAAUACAUGCAAGUCGAACGAGAGCGACCGGUGCUUGCACUGGUCAAUCUAGUGGCGAACGGGUGAGUAACACGUGGGUAACCUGCCCAUCAGAGGGGGAUAACAUUCGGAAACGGAUGCUAAAACCGCAUAGGUCUUCGAACCGCAUGGUUUGAGGAGGAAAAGAGGCGCAAGCUUCUGCUGAUGGAUGGACCCGCGGUGCAUUAGCUAGUUGGUGAGGUAACGGCUCACCAAGGCCGUGAUGCAUAGCCGACCUGAGAGGGUGAUCGGCCACAUUGGGACUGAGACACGGCCCAAACUCCUACGGGAGGCAGCAGUAGGGAAUCUUCCGCAAUGGACGCAAGUCUGACGGAGCAACGCCGCGUGAGUGAAGAAGGUUUUCGGAUCGUAAAACUCUGUUGUUAGAGAAGAACAAGUGCUAGAGUAACUGUUAGCGCCUUGACGGUAUCUAACCAGAAAGCCACGGCUAACUACGUGCCAGCAGCCGCGGUAAUACGUAGGUGGCAAGCGUUGUCCGGAUUUAUUGGGCGUAAAGCGAGCGCAGGCGGUUCCUUAAGUCUGAUGUGAAAGCCCCCGGCUCAACCGGGGAGGGUCAUUGGAAACUGGGGAACUUGAGUGCAGAAGAGGAGAGUGGAAUUCCAUGUGUAGCGGUGAAAUGCGUAGAUAUAUGGAGGAACACCAGUGGCGAAGGCGACUCUCUGGUCUGUAACUGACGCUGAGGCUCGAAAGCGUGGGUAGCAAACAGG
rnacentral:rRNA from 1 species